GACGAACGCUGGCGGCGCGCUUAACACAUGCAAGUCGAACGGAAAGGCCCUGCUUUUGUGGGGUGCUCGAGUGGCGAACGGGUGAGUAACACGUGAGUAACCUGCCCUUGACUUUGGGAUAACUUCAGGAAACUGGGGUUAAUACCGGAUAGGAGCUCCUGCUGCAUGGUGGGGGUUGGAAAGUUUCGGCGGUUGGGGAUGGACUCGCGGCUUAUCAGCUUGUUGGUGGGGUAGUGGCUUACCAAGGCUUUGACGGGUAGCCGGCCUGAGAGGGUGACCGGCCACAUUGGGACUGAGAUACGGCCCAGACUCCUACGGGAGGCAGCAGUGGGGAAUAUUGCACAAUGGGCGGAAGCCUGAUGCAGCAACGCCGCGUGCGGGAUGACGGCCUUCGGGUUGUAAACCGCUUUCGCCUGUGACGAAGCGUGAGUGACGGUAAUGGGUAAAGAAGCACCGGCUAACUACGUG
rnacentral:rRNA from 1 species